rnacentral:rRNA from 1 species
AGUGAACGCUGGCGGUAGGCCUAACACAUGCAAGUCGAACGGCAGCACAGUAAGAGCUUGCUCUUACGGGUGGCGAGUGGCGGACGGGUGAGGAAUACAUCGGAAUCUACUUUUUCGUGGGGGAUAACGUAGGGAAACUUACGCUAAUACCGCAUACGACCUACGGGUGAAAGCAGGAGAUCUUCGGACCUUGCGCGAUUGAAUGAGCCGAUGUCGGAUUAGCUAGUUGGCGGGGUAAAGGCCCACCAAGGCGACGAUCCGUAGCUGGUCUGAGAGGAUGAUCAGCCACACUGGAACUGAGACACGGUCCAGACUCCUACGGGAGGCAGCAGUGGGGAAUAUUGGACAAAGGGCGCAAGCCUGAUCCAGCCAUACCGCGUGGGUGAAGAAGGCCUUCGGGUUGUAAAGCCCUUUUGUUGGGAAAGAAAAGCAGCAGGUUAAUACCCCGCUGUUCUGACGGUACCCGAAGAAUAAGCACCGGCUAACUUCGUG